rfam:Anopheles gambiae M scf_1925492743 genomic scaffold, whole genome shotgun sequence.
CAAUCGGCUCUUUUCAGAGCCACCGAUUCUUUAUU